UAACGCGUAUGUAACUUGCCCGUAUCUGCGGGAUAGCUCUUCGAAAGAGGAAUUAAUACCGCAUAGUAUCUUUGAAAUACCUGUUUUAGAGAUUAAAGAUUUAUCGGAUACGGAUAGGCAUGCGUGACAUUAGGUAGUUGGUGAGGUAACGGCUCACCAAGCCGACGAUGUCUAGGGGUUCUGAGAGGAAGGUCCCCCACACCGGUACUGAGAUACGGACCGGACUCC
rnacentral:rRNA from 1 species